rnacentral:rRNA from 1 species
UCCUACGGGAGGCAGCAGUGAGGAAUAUUGGUCAAUGGACGGAAGUCUGAACCAGCCAAGUAGCGUGAAGGAUGACUGCCCUCUGGGUUGUAAACUUCUUUUAUACGGGAAUAACAUGAGGUACGCGUACCUUAUUGCAUGUACCGUUAUGAAUAAGCAUCGGCUAACUCCGUGCCAGCAGCCGCGGUAAUACGGAGGAUGCGAGCGUUAUCCGGAUUUAUUGGGUUUAAAGGGAGCGUAGGUGGGAUAUUAAGUCAGCUGUGAAAGUUUGGGGCUCAACCUUAAAAUUGCAGUUGAUACUGGUUUCCUUGAGUACGGUACAGGUGGGCGGAAUUCGUGGUGUAGCGGUGAAAUGCUUAGAUAUCACGAAGAACUCCGAUCGCGAAGGCAGCUCACCGGGCCGGAACUGACACUGAUGCUCGAAAGUGCGGGUAUCAAACAGGAUUAGAUACCCUGGUAGUCC